rnacentral:rRNA from 1 species
AUUGAACGCUGGCGGCAGGCCUAACACAUGCAAGUCGAGCGAGCGGCGGACGGGUGAGUAAUGUAUGGGGAACUGCCCGAUGGAGGGGGAUAACUACUGGAAACGGUGGCUAAUACCGCAUACUAUCCGAUGAACCCAUAUGGGAUUAGCUGGUAGGGGGGGUAACGGCUCACCUAGGCGACGAUCUCUAGCUGGUCUGAGAGGAUGAUCAGCCACACUGGAACUGAGACACGGCCCAGACGCCUACGGGAGGCAGCAGUGGGGAAGAUUGCACAAUGGGCGCAAGCCUGAUGCAGCCAUGCCGCGUGUAUGAAGAAGGCCGUAGGGUUGUAAAGUACUUUCAGCGGGGAGGCGUUACCCGCAGAAGAAGCACCGGCUAACUCCGUGCCAGCAGCCGCGGUAAUUC